CAGUGAUAUCGCAUUGAAACAUCAGUUCCUGUAAAAUCACUGAAGUUAAGCAGCGUUAGGCCUGGUCAGUACCUAGAUGGGUGACUGCUCGGGAAUACCUGAUGUUGUAAG